CCUACGGGGGGCUGCAGUAACGAAUCUUCCGCAAUGCACGAAAGUGUGACGGAGCGACGCCGCGUGUGGGACGAAGCCCUUCGGGGUGUAAACCACUGUCAGGGGUAAGAAAGUUCUGAUCUACCCCAGAGGAAGGCACGGCUAACUCUGUGCCAGCAGCCGCGGUAAGACAGAGGUGCCGAGCGUUAGGCGGAAUCACUGGGCUUAAAGCGUGUGUAGGCGGGUUUCUAAGUACCUUGUGAAAUCCCACGGCUCAACCGUGGAACUGCUGGGUAUACUGGGAAUCUUGAGCCACUUAGGGGCAACCGGAACAAAUGGUGGAGCGGUGAAAUGCGUAGAUAUCAUUUGGAACGCCAAUGGUGAAAACAGGUUGCUGGGAGUGUGCUGACGCUGAGACACGAAAGCCAGGGGAGCGAACGGGAUUAGAUACCCGAGUAGUC
rnacentral:rRNA from 1 species